UACAGAAUAUCACAUUUACUAGGAAAAUGUAAGUAACAUAACAUUAGGUAAUAUUGAAUCAUCCAGAAAUAUCAUAGAAUAAAGGUAAAGUUGACAUAAUUCUUAGAUAAUCCAUUGGUCUUGGAAGGACUCUUAUAGAGAUCUCUUCAGGAACACUUGAUCACUUUUCUGUGCCCUUAAGGGUCCGUGAACUGAUUUUCUAAACUAAUUGGACAAAUUUGUUUUCUAGAUUGGUUUUCUGGGGUUUUGAUGGCUUUAUUCUUUGAGUUUUAAUCAAGGUUGUUAAGUUGACAGUAUUUGACAGCACCUUGUUUUCAGUUUACAUUGCAAUAGUCUCAGCCAAAGGAGGUCUCCCCAGUGUUUCUUACACCCUAGACCCUUAAUUUCUAUACUUAAAAAUCUCAUGAUUCUUUGCUAAUAGAGCUCAGAGGGUCCUAGAAACUAUUUGGUGAAAUC
rnacentral:lncRNA from 1 species